UGUGGGAGCGGGCUUGCUCGCGAAACCGCGGUGUCAGUCAGAAUAUUCAUCGACUGGCACACUGCUUUCGCGAGCAAGCCCGCUCCCACA
rnacentral:misc_RNA from 1 species